UGUUUCCGCCGAGUUGAUCAUGGAGAAGGUCGGGCUCCGCGGCCGUCGAGAGGCGACCUUCUCCAUGAUCAACUCGGCAAGGGGG
rnacentral:pre_miRNA from 1 species